rnacentral:tRNA from 1 species
CGGGGCGUAGCGCAGUCCGGUUUAGCGCGCAUGCUUCGGGAGCAUGAAGUCGGAGGUUCAAAUCCUCUCGCCCCGA